AUGGAAACGCUAAUCAGAGUCCAAGAGCAGCCCAAAGGGAGUGCAGCCACGGGACCGGACAAGCAAGAUGAGAGGAGUCAGAUGAGGUGGCUCGGGCAUCUGAUCAGGAUGCCUCCUGGACGCCUCCCUGGUGAGGUGUUCCGGGCACGUCCAACCGGGAGGAGGCCCCGGGGAAGACCCAGGACACGCUGGAGGGACUAUGUCUCUCGACUGGCCUGGGAACGCCUUGGGAUUCUCCCGGAAGAGCUAGAAGAAGUGGCCGGGGAGAGGGAAGUCUGGGCAUCUCUGCUCAAGCUGCUGCCCCCGCGACCCGACCUCGGAUAAGCGGGAGACAAUGGAUGGAUGGAUGGAUGGAAGACUCCAGACAAUCAAAAAGACUUGGGGCAGCCACCCAUAUAUUAUGAUCCUGGCUGCAAAAGGUUGAAAAAUGAUUGAGUAGUUUACAAGACUGAGUCCAAAACAGAACUGAAUACGUGGAGCUGAGAUGGCGGUUUUAAGGGCUGGUGGAGGAAAUGAUGUCAUCUAUGCCGGAACCGGAAGUGACAUCAUCAGAGGCGCCAGGACCUGGCAGGAUUUCCCGGGAAUAGUCUGCAAGGAACUCAGAGAGACAGUCAGCACACUCCGCCACCGCCUGGUCUGAUGUAGUAUUACACUUACUCAAGCCCUUUAGCUGCCUCCUAAUCGCACGUGUGUGAUACUAUAUUCUUCUUGUGUUGUAUUAUUUUAUCUUAUUAAUUUUUUAACGUAUAUAUACUCCUGUACAGUACUUUGAUCAACCUUGGUUGUUUUAGAAUGUGAUUUAUAAAUAAAACUUACUAACAUAUAUUGGUAAAGCCAUCCACUAAAUUAGUUAAUGCUUAUGUACGUGAUUAUGUACCUGUGAGAUUUCAAAGUGUAAUUUUAACUUUAAUGUUGCUACGCUGUCUAUUACUUGCC